rnacentral:lncRNA from 1 species
AUCAAUAUAUGCUUUUACUCUAUGCUGUAAAAUAACAGUGUUAUUCUAUUGUUGCCAAUAUUUCUAUUUUCUGUUGCUUCUGCAGAUUUCACCUAAUAAUGGGCUUAACAACACGUAGAAGUUCGAGAGCGUCCAUAAUGGAUUUACCGGAGCUCAUCAUUUUAGAAAUUCUGCUAUAUCUGUCCAUUAAAGGGAUUGUAAUGUGCAAGUGUGUGUGCAAAACUUGGCAACAUCUAAUUUCUAACCCUCACUUUGCCAAGCAUCACUUUGCACAUUCAAAAGCUGGCAUUCUAAUCCGACCCUCGGAUGUUGGACGAAUUUCAAGAAUGCUUUACUUUAUGGAGCCAUCUGUAAUCAGUGUGAUUGAAGCUGGGCAGCAAGUAAACUUGAAGCCUGAUACCAAAUUGAAGACUCCUUUGCUUAAUGUUGACGCUCAAGCGAUUGCUUUCAUCGAGGGGAAUACUAAGAGGAAGCGAACUAUUAACCUUGUUACCAAGAAUCACAAGAUCAUUAUAGUAAAUUCGUGUAACGGCUUCCUUUGUUUGUUUGAGCGCUCCCAUAAUUAGGGGUGGGCGCGGGUCAGUUCGAUUCGGUUCUCUUUAGAAUCGAACCGAACCAAAAUUUUCGGGUAUCUAGUAAAUGGAACCGUCGGGUCCAAAUAUAAUUAUGCAUCUGUUCG